AUACAUGCCUGUACUUCUUGUUCAUGUACUCCCCUGCACAUGACUUCAUGCGCGUGGAGUAAAACUAUUCUAUUUGGAGUGGUACUGCAUGUUGGUUAAUUGAAAAUUGUUCUCAUGACACACUUCUGUUUGGAGUAGUAUAGUCUUUGAUUAUCUCUUCAGAGUACUAAGCACUAAGUAGUGAAUCUUGAUAUGGCUUGAGCUGAAUAAUUUUGAUGAAAAAGAAGUGUCAACACAGCAAGCCAGAAGCUUUUUUGGGUCUUUGAUUAUCUCUUCAGAGUACUAAGCACUGAGUAGUGAGUCUUGAUAUGGCUUGAGCUGAAUUGGGUCUUUGAUUAUCUCUUCAGAGUACUAAGCACUGAGUAGUGAGUCUUGAUAUGGCUUGAGCUGAAUAAUUUUGAUGAAAAAGAAGUGUCAACACAACAAGCCAGAAGCUCUUUUGUUUACCAAUUAUACUACUCAUAUGCAGCACACUCAGUAGCUUGUUACACUCAAUUUACAUCUACCCAGAACAAUUAUAUGCUGAAAUGAUGCCUUGAAUAUCAACCAAAUUUUAGAAAUGUUAUCCAGUAGGCUCCAUAUUCACGACUGUUUGGUAGGAGUCAUUUUUAGCUAAUUUUCUUACUUGCUAAAAUUGUAUGAGGUACAUGCUGACUUAGUUUUUUUUUGUCUAUUCAGCAAAUCGAUUGAUUGGAUUAGUUUCAUAUACAUCGGUGAAGUGCAGGUUGAGCUGUGGUUCUCAUAUAAGGAAGAGUGUCAUAGCUAUUUUUAAAUUUUAGCCUCCUUCGCUUUGAGAUGGCCAACUAUUGUGUGUUUAUGAAGAGAAGUGCCUAAUCUCAAGACCAAAGGUGCUACGAGGUGAUAUUUGUGUCGUGAAACUUAUAAGAAGCAGUACAUUACUAUGCCUACAUGUGAUAUGUGAUGUUGUUUGAUUUCUUCCUAUUUUUCCGAGUGAUCCUUCAUGUGAUGGAAGCAAGCUUCCUCUCAAAUCCUUCUCAGACUUGUGGAAUGCUUUUAUCAUAAGUGAUUUUGUGCUUAUCUCAUAAGGUUAAGUCCUAGGUUAUGUACAUUUGAUGUAAAUACUUUGUUUAUUACAAUAGAAAAUCAACCUUCAGGUAUGCAUUCUGUUUUAGAGCAUCGACCUUCUGUUUAUGGAUAUCUCAUAUAAUUUCAGAGAGCAGUUGUGGCCAGAUACCUCUCUAGCAAUUUAUAAACCAGAUAGAAGAAUAUGCACAAUAAGUACCUUGGUUUUACCCCUGUGGUAUCAGCAUGAAUGCACAUAUUUACUUAUAUCUAAGCAUACACGGCUUCUGGUAUUACAUUCUGUAAUUAACAUUGUCUCUGGAGUUGUCUGACAUUGUUCUAUGUGGUUUUGCAGGAAGAAGUACAACUGAAGGUUACUGGAUUUCUGAAUACACUAUUUUGCUCUGUAUUUAGUAUGUAGUCAGGUGGAUAUGACUACGUUGAGUCAGAUGAAAGACAACGACCUCGAAGAUACUAUAUAAGCACAUGGUUAAUGGGAUGUUUAAUGAUUACUGUUCCAUUCCUGGCUUUUAUUACCUCUUAUGGUCGGUGGGAUGGUUAGUGCUUAUAUUGUUUUAUUAUUACACUCUACUGGUUCCUGUGAUUUUGUAUGUGAGGUAGUAUGACUUGUGAAUAUGAUAUGAUCAUGGUCUAUGUUUUUCUCUC